GAGUUUGAUCCUGGCUCAGGAUGAACGCUAGCUACAGGCUUAACACAUGCAAGUCGAGGGGCAGCAUGAACUUAGCUUGCUAAGUUUGAUGGCGACCGGCGCACGGGUGAGUAACACGUAUCCAACCUGCCAAUGACUCGGGGAUAGCCUUUCGAAAGAAAGAUUAAUACCCGAUGGCAUAGUUCUUCCGCAUGGUAGGACUAUUAAAGAAUUUCGGUCAUCGAUGGGGAUGCGUUCCAUUAGCUUGUUGGCGGGGUAACGGCCCACCAAGGCAUCGAUGGAUAGGGGUUCUGAGAGGAAGGUCCCCCACAUUGGAACUGAGACACGGUCCAAACUCCUACGGGAGGCAGCAGUGAGGAAUAUUGGUCAAUGGGCGCUAGCCUGAACCAGCCAAGUAGCGUGAAGGAUGACUGCCCUAUGGGUUGUAAACUUCUUUUAUAUGGGAAUAAAGUGCAGUAUGUAUACUGCUUUGCAUGUACCUUAUGAAUAAGGAUCGGCUAACUCCGUGCCAGCAGCCGCGGUAAUACGGAGGAUCCGAGCGUUAUCCGGAUUUAUUGGGUUUAAAGGGAGCGUAGGCGGGUUGUUAAGUCAGUUGUGAAAGUUUGCGGCUCAACCGUAAAAUUGCAGUUGAUACUGGCAUCCUUGAGUACAGUAGAGGUAGGCGGAAUUCGUGGUGUAGCGGUGAAAUGCUUAGAUAUCACGAAGAACUCCGAUUGCGAAGGCAGCCUGCUGGACUGUAACUGACGCUGAUGCUCGAAAGUGUGGGUAUCAAACAGGAUUAGAUACCCUGGUAGUCCACACAGUAAACGAUGAAUACUCGCUGUUUGCGAUAUACAGUAAGCGGCCAAGCGAAAGCGUUAAGUAUUCCACCUGGGGAGUACGCCGGCAACGGUGAAACUCAAAGGAAUUGACGG
rnacentral:rRNA from 1 species